rnacentral:lncRNA from 1 species
UUUAUAACUGUAGGGAUUUCUGUUGUAUUCAUUUCAAGACUUUUUGUUUUCAUGAUGCCCUAAGUACAGAUACAUUCACUGUCCCAUGGCUUCUUAUCCCCCCUACCUGGGCACUGGAGAUGACAGUGACAGAAAGGUGGGCCCUGCAUUGUCAGUACUUCACCCAUGCAUACUGCACUACUAAGAAAGAAAUACUCGAGGUAAAAUCUGAAAAAAAGGAAAUUUUAGUGCUUCAUUUGAAUGCAUAUUGUUUUCAACUCAAUUUACAGUGAGCCUGAUAACCUUUUUACUGAUUAGUAAAGUCUUUUGAUAAAGUUUAGUGAUUUCGUAUUUUAGAAACAUUUGUUUGUUGAUUUGUUUUCCUUUAUUUCUUUUCAAGAUAGUAAAAGAUUUUGGCUCUUCAAUUUGAUAUUGUCCAUGAGCAGUCAAAUAACACCCAUAUAGUUUUCCUCUUUUAAAAAAAAAUCCUUCCAUCUUACCAUCAAGGAGUCUUUCUUCAUGAAAACCUUAUCUUUCUUUACUAAUGGCACUUGAGAGCUUUGAGGAAAUUCUCUCUGAACUUUGAGGAUAGAAUAGUUAAGAUAAAAACUAUUCCUUGAGGAAGAAACCCUCUUUUGUGCUGUAAUUUCCAUUUUUGCUUCAGUCUUUAAAAUAGUUACAAUUUCAAUUCAAUGAACAGAGAAAAACAAAGGGGACAGGACAAUGUGAUGGGAUUAAAUUUGAUACAGUCCUGGAUAGCGAAAGCUGGUUCUCAGGGUUACCAGAGGUUGGCACUGCUCUUCGCUUGUCAUUGUGACCCUUCUCUUGAUAUAAUUUUUCUAGGAAGUAGUAUAUUAACUAUCCUUCUUCGUGAUACAAGAUUUCUCUUAAUGCUAUCAGACUCAUCUAAAAAAUUGAUAGACAUCCGUGACGAUUUCUAUACCUAAUCUGUUCUCCAAGGCACGUGGGGAGCAUGCAGAAAUAACUAAAUAUAAUGGUUCAAAUUUGAGAUAAAAUUUUCCUACUGUAACCUCCAGUGCUUUGGGAAUGUUUAUAAUCAGAAGGAUCUUUGAAAACCAAAGCUAGCUCUACUCUUGGUCUCCUUAUAACAAUCCUUGAUUUAAAAUCAAGUGUAGAUUUGUAGGAGAAAUUUUUCAAAGGUAUUUCCAGCAGCUAAACUUCUCCUUAGUCCCAUUGAUUUAAACCUUCAUUUUCUGGAGGGCACUAUUGAGGUAUAUAUUCAGAAUAAUUUGCAUAUAUCUAAAAUUGAUUUUUUUACUACAUCAAAGAAUUGUGGUUUUAAGAAUAAAUGAAAGUAGGAUCUUGCUAAUCCUCAUCAUGACAAAUAAAGGUGAGAAGCUGAUGGUAGAGAAGAUUUAUGAUAACUUGACUUUAAAUUAAUUUGAUCGUGCUGACUCCACUGUUCCAAAUUCCUUUGUUUUCAUGAUCUUUUCUAAACUGGGUACUGAUUCUCCUGAAACUUCCAGCAUGCAUGUACGGCAGAGCAGAGAUGCAGGCUUACAUUUGCAGAGUAAUAAUCCAGACAAACUGGAGACAAAUUCUUGAGAGUUACCAAAUGCAAAAUGUUUCUCCAGAAUCGCUCAUAAUGCUACAUCCCAAACUAAUGCUAGAUUCAUCUUAAGCAAGAAGUAAAUUCCAUAAGGAAUCCUACCAUGAAUUUUUUAGAUAACUGAAUAAUACAAAAAGAGAAACAAUGCAGAAUCUUAAUUUUGAUAUAGUAAUUUACUUAUAUAUUUAAUAAUUGUACUUUUUGCAUGAGUGUCUCAUUGAGCUAUUUAUACCAAUUUUCAAUCCAUCUUUCUGAGAGUGGCCUUGAGAAUUUGUAUGUAUGUGUAUGUAUAUGUGUAUCUGUGUGUAGUCAGGAAAAAAAGUGAAUAAAGAGGAAUAAAGUGAGGUAAAAAGUGGUCAGUGUAGAAAAGUAAGCUCUCCUAGUGUACCUUUUUAUGUUAUGUAAGGUGGCAGCUGCUUGUAACCCUAGAGAAAUAGCUGUUUGCACUAUUCCUAAGAAGAGCCCAGCACUAUUAAAUUUAGGACCAUGUUUUAGAAAACAGGAAAGCUUUAUCUUUUUCUGUACACAUACUCCUUAGUAUCAGAGCCAUUUGAUAUGAUGAAAACUAUUAAAAACCACUACUGAUCUUUGCAUCAAAUAGCUAUUUUCCUCUUUUAAAUAAUAUCCCUGAUGUCAACUUGACUACUUCCCUUUAUUUUCUGCCUACUGGCUUAAUGUUUUACAGAGUAAUGCAUAGAUACAUGCUAGUUGUUUCUGUUCUUUGAGCUGAAACAAACAGGGACAACAAAAGAGAUGACUCACAGUAGUGUGAGGUGAAGACUGAAUUUUCCACUUUUGUAGCACUGGUAAGCAUUAGUAAGAUAAGAGCUGUUUAGGGUUCAGCUUUGAGUCUGUAAGAGGGCUUUUUUUGCACUAAGUAUGACUGCACUGCAUUGCACUACUGAAAUGUAUGUACUUGUGCUGGAAGGGAGUGUAUUAGAUAAAGGAAAGAAAGAGGCGAGUUAUGAAACUAGGACGUCACAGAAAUUAAGGGUUAUUUUCAUCAUGUUUUCUCUUAGCAGACUUGGUGAGAAUUUGUGGAAUCUUUGCCAACUUUCAAACCUAAAAAAUGCCAUGCUGAUAAAACCUGUCUUAUUGUAAAGAAGCUGGUUAAUACAAGUGGAGGACAUUUAAGAAGAAACUUAGCCAAUGUUUUUUCCAAGUGAGCUUUCAGUAAGAGUUAUAAUAAAGAGGAAGCCAACUGAUAAGAUGUGAAAGUCUUAACUGUCGAAACCCCCUGCUGGUGCACAUUUCAGCGUGACAAAGGACAGUGAGAAAAAAGCUAUUUAUGAAAUGUCAAAAACACUGGACUGUGAGUUUAAGUGUGGAAGCAUUUACCACCCUGUGUCUUCAACCAAUUAUGGGAAACCCCUUUUCUCUCCCCCUCUCCGCCGCCUUAGCCUUGCCAAAUGAGAAAACUAUAACAGCUCUCAGAUGAUUGAAGCCACCGAAGCUCUGCUUUAAUUCUUACGGUUUGAAAAAGUUGGAAAACCAAAGUUAAAUUUGUUUCUGAAAUCCCGCUGUCCAUAGCCCUUUUUUUGUAUGACACAGCCAGUUGGUGCUGCCUCUCCAUCUGGGAUUAUUGCCUUCUUAGGGACUGGGGCCAGGUCUGAUGCAAAGAGAGACAUGAGAGUGGUGAAGCUGAGAGCUGAGGUCUCAGGAAGUAACAUGUGAGUGGGACUCCAGCCUCUCAGGGGCAACCACAUUUCCCCAUCCCGAGGAGAAGCUGCCAAGAGAGCACAGUGCUACUAAAGCCUGACAGGAGCCAGCCUAUGUCUGGUCUCCUUCACCUUCUGCUUCUAAGACUCUUCUGUUACCAUGGCUCUCUAGAAUGGCUCUGCCUUUCUCAGCAGCCCACAUUCCUUGGAUGGGAGUGGGGCAAGGAUCCAAAUGACAGAAUGGCUGUGGGUGCUGUGGAGGCACCCCCAGCUCCCAGGGAGGUGAGGCAAGGGACCACUCAGCACAAGGGAUCUUGACCACCUCCUCUGAUUCAAUGGAUUAUCCAUCCAUCUGCUCACUGUGAAGAGGGAGAGGCAGUGUGCACCAAGGCUAUUCAAUAGCUUUUCCAUAUUUUUUCAACAAUGAAAAAAUAAUUUUUCAAAACUGUGAUAUUUUUUAAAAAAUCAUUUGGCUGGAGGGAAGGGAAAAGGGAAACACCAAAAGCUGUAACAUGAUUAACUGGAGAUAUGUAACUGGGGCACUUUCUAGACCAAGACAAAUGAAUUCCUUUCUGGACCUAAAGCAGCCAAAUCUUGAGACUGUCAAUGACAGAAAGCUGAAGAGAGGCUUCCAUUUCCUCCUUUCUCCUUUCUUCUCUCUGUCUCAAAAUUCUCUUGUCUCAAACUUCUUGUCUUCAAAAUUCUCCUUUCCAGGUUCCCUUGAUCUACUGCCCCAUUGGCCCUCAGCCUCCCACUUCAUCUGUACAACUACACACACACACACACACACACACACACACGCAAAAUACCAUUAUUUUAAGGAUUAUGGGACAGAAUAAAAUCAUGUGCCUUCAUUUUUUCUUUUUAUGGUUAGAUGAACCUCUUCCUUUUCACAAUGUUUAUUUUUUUAAAAGAUAGGAGAGGUUGAAGUGUUAGUGGAGGAGCUGGGCAUCAUCUGAGAAGUCAUGUUUGUUUAGCACAUUCCCCCUAAACAUUAAACACAAGCAUGUUAACCCCUUCACAAAACUAUCCGGACAUUUAGAGCAUCAAGUAACCAGAUACUGGACAGCCUAAAUCCAUUUGACUUUAGAGCAGUUCCUGAAAUUUCCAUUUCAUAGGCUUCUUUGAUUUUAUCAAAAUGAGGCGAGCAAGGGCAAGCUGCCUUGUUCUCCUGAUCUGGUGCUUUUGCUUGUAGUGGGGGG